AAAUUUUAAAAUUAUAAUACUAAAAUAGUAAAUAAUUAUUUAUUAAAACUUAAAUAAUUUGGCGGUAUUUUAGUUUAUUUAGAGGAAUCUGUUUAAUAAUUGAUAUUCCACGAAUAAAUUUACUUAAUUUAUAAUUUUGUAUAUCGUUGUUAUAAAAAUA
rnacentral:rRNA from 1 species